GCACUUUAAGUUUGACACCCCGAAACUGAGCGAGCUACUUCAGAGCAACUCACAAAGCCAACCCGUCCCUGUAGCAAAAGGGUGGGAAGACUCUAAAGUAGAGGCGAUAUACCAAUCGAGCCCAGAAAUAGCUGGUUAUUCAGAAAAAGGAUCUAAGUCCAACUUUAAGUUUCCCAAGUACCCCUAAACACCCCCCCCCCACUUAAAAGCCAUUCAAAUAAGGUACAGCCUAUUUGAACMAGGAAACAGCCUUUAAUACAGGGUAAUGGNNNNNNNNNNNNGGCCAAGUKGGCCUUAAAGCAGCCAACUUYCMAAAAGSGUUUWAGCUUCCCCGUGGSCCCCCCCCCAAUUCCACAACUAACACACAACCUGCAACCACUACUGAAUAAUCCCAUACUCAUAUGGAAGAUAUUAUGCUAGAACUAGUAACAAGAAGAAGAACUUCUCCAAAAUGUAAACGUAAGCCAUAAUGAACCCACACCGGCAUUCACCCGCCUACAACAGUACCAACCAUCAAGAAAACCCUACUGCCUUCAGCGUUAACCUUACACAAGAACAUUUCCGGAAAG
rnacentral:rRNA from 1 species